ACAAACUUGGUCAUUUAGAGGAAGUAAAAGUCGUAACAAGGUUUCCGUAGGUGAACCUGCGGAAGGAUCAUUACUAUAAUGGAAAGUUGCUGGCUUCGGUCAGUUGACAUUCUUCAACCCUCUGUGAACCAAACAAACCUUAGCUUCGGUAGCUGACCGGUUGGGAAACUGACCGCGUUGUAAGCCUGCCGUUAGCACCAAACCAAACUGUUUUUAAAAUUUGUCUGAAUCAAUCAUUUUCGAAUGAAAUUAAAACUUUCAACAACGGAUCUCUUGGUUCUCGCAUCGAUGAAGAACGCAGC
rnacentral:misc_RNA from 1 species